GUCGAACGGUAACGGGCCCGCAAGGGUGCCGACGAGUGGCGGACGGGUGAGGAAUGCAUCGGAAUCUGCCCGGUUGUGGGGGAUAACGUAGGGAAACUUACGCUAAUACCGCAUACGACCGAGAGGUGAAAGCGGGGGAUCGAAAGACCUCGCGCGAUCGGAUGAGCCGAUGCCGGAUUAGCUAGUUGGUAGGGUAAAGGCCUACCAAGGCGACGAUCCGUAGCUGGUCUGAGAGGAUGAUCAGCCACACUGGGACUGAGACACGGCCCAGACUCCUACGGGAGGCAGCAGUGGGGAAUAUUGGACAAUGGGGGCAACCCUGAUCCAGCAAUGCCGCGUGUGUGAAGAAGGCCUUCGGGUUGUAAAGCACUUUUGUCCGGAACGAAACGCGCAGGGUGAAUAGCCUUGUGAACUGACGGUACCGGAAGAAUCAGCACCGGCUAACUUCGUGCCAGCAGCCGCGGUAAUACGAAGGGUGCAAGCGUUACUCGGAAUUACUGGGCGUAAAGCGUGCGUAGGUGGUUUGUUAAGUUUGCUGUGAAAGCCCCGGGCUCAACCUGGGAAUGGCAGUGAAUACUGGCGAGCUAGAGUGCGGUAGAGGGUAGUGGAAUUCCCGGUGUAGCGGUGAAAUGCGUAGAGAUCGGGAGGAACACCAGUGGCGAAGGCGGCUACCUGGACCAGCACUGACACUCAGGCACGAAAGCGUG
rnacentral:rRNA from 1 species